CCCCCUCAUCCCAAUUGCUCAGCCCGCCGCUGAGCGCAGCCAAUCCGCGGCCGGCCGCCCACUGCUUCGGCGAAUCAGCGAGCAGGCAGCCCGGAAGCACGAGGCUAGGCUAAUAAAGCGAGGCCAGCCUAUCAGGCAGCGGCAGCGCUAGUGGAUAGCCAAUCGCCAGUCACGCCCCAGGGGGCGGAACGAGAAAGUCGACCGGCCAGUGCCGGUUUCAAGUUUUGGGGCCGCGGAAAAGUCUAGAACCUGAGAGAGAAUCUGACUCCUGUGAAUCUCACUGCUUAUUGGACACCUCCACCUGGGUAAACCUAGAUAUUCAAAGCUUUUCGUCGAGACUUAACUUCCUCAAUCCAGGUGGGUUAAUCUCACGGCUGUCACUCCCGCAAUUACCCAUCCUUCGUUUGCCCAAAGCUGUCUCCUUCUUGGGACGGCCAGUAGAACACUUCCCAGAAUUCCCUGCCGUGUAGUACGAUCAGCAACCAGAAACUACAACUCCCAGGGUUCUGCGCGCCCGCAGGGGCGGGGCUUUCUGGAGGCUGCUCCCGCGGAGGGGAGAUGGCAGAGCAGUCUGGUUCUCCGCACCGCUCGAUGUACAAAUUGGUGGGCUCGCCUCCGUGGAAAGAGACGUUCAGGCAGGGAUGCCUGGAGAGAAUGAGGAACAGCCGGGACAGGCUCCUGGACAAAUACCGACAGGCUGGAGGCAAUGUGCCAGGGAGGGCUCAGAGCACCCUUCUCGCACAAGAGUUGAUGGAAGAGGAAUGGAAUGCUUGGCACUCGAUGGAAAGCUGCCCAGAGGCCUUGGCUCAGUGGGAGGAGCCGAUGGCCUUGGCUGAGCUGGAGGAAAUCCAACAGGAGCUGAUUGACCAAGCCAAGCAUCCAGAAGUCUCUGCUUUUACUCUGAAGUCUUGACUGGCUGUCUUCCUAGUACUACGAGUCUUAAGUAUGCCAGGUCUUGUGCUCAGACUUCUCAUUCCAUGCUGAUUUUCUCCUGGCACCUACCCUACAAGGCAAUAGGAGACAGACGAGAGUGGCAUCUCACCCAGGCUGAACAGCUAGUGGUGGAGCUGGGAAGUAAUAUCAAUUUUGUGAAUCCGGUUCCCAUGCUUAUUCUAUUAUCCGACAGUACCUCUCUAUUAAUAGAUGGAUAGUAAUCCUGUACCCUGUAGGAUACAGUGCAAGAUCAGCUCUCUUGCACAACUUAAGUGUCUUCUUUCCCAUCCAUUCUUUACUGACUACCCAGGGUCUUGUGAGCAUCUACUCCCUGAGGCAUUCUAGCACCGUACAGUGCACAGUUUAACACCUUACGUAAUUCAUUUAUUCCACAUUGCCCUAGGUUGACGAGGCUCAGUAUUUAUCAUCGGUAAAAUAGAGAUAAUAGGCCUACCCUAUAAGUUUGUGUGUGUGGAAACUUAUGUUUAAUAAUAUGUGUAGAAGACGUAGAGAAGUGUCUGGCAUAUUGAAAGCUUUCAACAAUUGAGGAUGCAAGACCAUGGACUCCUGAGCUUGGCUGCUGAGGUUCACUCCUGAGCUUUACCACUUUAACUGGUACAGCACUGGGCAAAGCACUUAAUCUCCCCAUGCCUCGGUGUCUUCAUCUUUAAGAUAAAGAUGAUAUUAGUGAGUAAGUUAAUAUGUGGAAAGGACUUAAAAUAGCAUUUGACAAAUUGUAAGUGCUAUGCAAGUGUUAGUUGUUAUGAUUAGUAUUGAUUCCAGUUAGACCAUAGAUUUUUUUAUUGAUUCACCCUUCACCCCCACCUACAAAACCUAUCUUAGUGGUGAAACAUAACAUUCACUAAAUAUUUCUUUUGGGGUAUGUUUAAAAAAUCUGAAGUGAUAAGGAUUCACUGUGUUCUGCCCAUACUCAGUCAGAUGGAACACACUAGAACAGAGAUUGACAAACUUCCUGUGGAGGUCCAGAUAAUAAAUACUUUAGGCUUUGUGGUCCAUGCUUUUUCUGUUGCAACUCCUCAGUUCUGCGGUUGUAGUAUGGAAACAGUCAGACAAUACAUAAACACGUGAGCAUGGCUAUAUUCCAGUUAACUUUAUUUAAAAAACUGAAGUUGGGCUGGAUAUGGCCUGUGGGCUGUGGUUUACUGACCCCUGAGCUCAUCAAGAGCAGGGAGCAGUCUUUUUCACCUUUGCACCCCAUGCCUGCCACAUCCUAGGUAUUGUUGCAUACUUGCUGAACGAAUGAACAUAGAACGAAUGAACAUAGAUUCUGAACAACACAGACUCUGAACAUAGGGACAUUGGGGGACAGAUCACUGGACUCAGCAGGAUGGGCUGGCAUCAGAAAGAAGUGCCUGUGUCAGCUUUCUCCAGCUGCCCCUGGGACCUGACUGACAGUCUGCAUCUACGCUAUGGCCUCUGGUGAUGUGUGUCCAAGUCCUCUCCUUGUCCCUUAGCCUCACCACUUCACCUCUUUUGCUCACAAAGUGAGGCCAGACAGGAGGGGAGGAAUCCAACAAGAGGAAGCCUGAGGGAAAAGUAACUAUCUAGUGAUGGGUAGCAUGAUUUUACCUGAAUUUUUCUCAGGUGGAUGAAGCUUGUGACGGUGAAGUUAGCACUAAAUAUAGGACAGCUGGGUGCAGCAUGGUGAAGCGCGCCACCUGUCCAUUGCCUUGCAGAACAGUCCAUCAUCAAUGAAUACGAGAAGAGCUUGCAGUUUGAUGAGCAGUGUCUCAGCAUCAUACUGGCUGAGUGGGAAGCAAACUCCCUCAUCUGUCCUGUGUGCAUAAAGUACAACCUGAGAAUAACAAGCGGUGUGGUCAUGUGUC